rnacentral:rRNA from 1 species
UACGGAGGGUGCAAGCGUUAAUCGGAAUUACUGGGCGUAAAGCGCACGCAGGUGGCUGAGUCAGUCGAUUGUGAAAGCCCUGGGCUUAACCUGGGAAUUGCAGUCGAUACUACUCGGCUAGAGUAUGGGAGAGGGAAGUGGAAUUCCCGGUGUAGCGGUGAAAUUCGUAGAUAUCGGGAGGAACACCAGUGGCGAAGGCGGCGAUCUGGGAAGAUACUGACGCUGAGGUGCGAAAGCGUGGGGAGCA